UACGUAGGGCGCAAGCGUUGUCCGGAAUUAUUGGGCGUAAAGAGCGUGUAGGCGGUCCGGUAAGUCAGCUGUGAAAGUCAAGGGCUCAACCCUUGAAUGCCGGUUGAUACUGUCGGGCUAGAGUCCGGAAGAGGCGAGUGGAAUUCCCGGUGUAGCGGUGAAAUGCGCAGAUAUCGGGAGGAACACCAAUGGCGAAGGCAGCUCGCUGGGACGGUACUGACGCUGAGACGCGAAAGCGUGGGGAGCAAACAGG
rnacentral:rRNA from 1 species